GUAUUGAAUUGUAACUCCAAAUCAUAAGCUACUUAUCAGUCAAGAACUUUUCUUAGGUCAAAAUUCUCAAUCCAAUCCAAUCCAAUUUCCUUUGCUAGUCACGUAUGUUUGUUUGUCCAGAAAAGACAAGGAAAAAAGUGACAAGAACAGAAAGAAUAAGAGACAAGCUCUUAAUCCCUCCAAAUCCCUCUCUCUCUUUCCCUCAAUCUUCCUGGUAGUUGUGUAUUUCUUUGAUGAUCCCUCCGCAGGUUCACCUACGGAGA
rnacentral:misc_RNA from 1 species